CACAGAGGCACCCUGGGAAUUCACCACUCUGCCCGGGAGACCUCGAUGCAGCCACAGGAGCCAGGGCCCGUGAAUCCAACCGCCCACCUCCCAUGACUAGUCUCUGACCAGCAUCUGGUACAGUUUCUCAGAUAAAAGGCCCUAGUGCAGGUUCUCGCAGAGGAAGCCACACUCCACGGCUUUCAGAGAUGGACCGUGAGCUUCGUGACUCUCCUGCAGCUGGAACUGGUGGGGUGUUUGGCCGGUCAGAUUUUAGAACCCUGGCUCCCUGUCUGUGUUCAUCCGCGUACCCCUGAUGCACUGCGCAUGUGCAAAGAGCGUGUUUGCAGAUGCUUCAAGCACAGCCCCGCCCUGGGAUCAAAGGGUCCAAAUCCAUAGGGUCCUGGAAAGUGAGCUUCAGCCCCAUCCCAGGAAAUAAUUUACUCAACAAAUUUCAUGUUUCCUCUCCUGGGCAGACAGGAGGUGGGGUAGGGAGACACGGCCUGACCCUCAGACCACCAUCGGAUGUGAAUUCUAUGACCUGUGAGUCACAGCCUUCAUCUCAUGUCACCCCAGUUCGGCAGCAGAGAUCCCAGGGUCGAGAGGGGCUCGACUGGGCCUGUCUCGUCUGGACCGUAAGAACAAGCUCGGCUGGCACGCGACUAGAGAACCAUCUGCAGUUUCCAUGCCCAAGAUGUCGUCAUUUAAACUUUCUCUAUCCUGGAACAAAGAAGCCACCGCUUCCAAGCACACACAGUGUCCUCGCUGCUUCCCACUCUACUCGACAGCAGGGCUCUGAAACGAGCUCACACGCUGAUACCGAGAGCCAUAGGAAGCCCCAGCCUUGAGUACAUCCGUGCAACUAAACCGAGGCCAGAGAAGUUUUCCAAUCACGCUACUGUAGACAGAGCAAGCAGACAGGGCCAUCUCCACUCCACUCUCACACGGGUGUGGGAGUUGUCCCCAGAGGUCUUCCCAGUACAACAACUCGUCUUUCACCACCAAUUGUCUGUCGACCCUCAGCGGUGCCACUGGGAGCUUGUGCAGUAAGCAAAGCUGCAGUGUGCUCAGGAGUAUUCUCAUGAAACCCUUGUGUCUUCUGAACAAUGGGCAUGGGGGCUGAGGGCACGUGCAGAAGGGAGAGGCAACAUCCAAGUGACCAACAGUCAGCCUGUACGUGGUGAGAGGGACGGGAGGGUCAGCCUGUGCAUGGUGGGCAGGGACAGGAAAAUGUUUGCAUUGAAAUGUCCUGAAAGAAGAGAGGACUCCGUGCAGUGUCCAGUCAGAUCCAUAAAAAAUUAAUCCAGACCUCACGCAGUUGGCUGACUCUGGGCAGACCAGGGCCAGCAUGUUUCUGCUUUGGGGUCAAGGCUGCAGUUUAACCUCUGUGAUAUGCAUGUUUUAACAGCUUGCUGCCCCGGACAGAGUGAAGUGCUUCAUUUUAUACCCACUCCCAACCCCCCGCCCCCCGCCCUGUUGCUCUGACUGAAACACCUAGCAAAAACCCCUCACUGGCCCAUGAAGGACCCUGGCUCUGUCAGCCUCCAGAUGUGUACAUUCCAGAGGAGAAGCCUGGAAGACGGGCAAAGCAGGUUCACACUUGACAGAGCAUCCCAGGCCACUAAACCAAAUGACCUUCUAACCACAGGUCAGACACCCUCUCACCAACCCGCUUCCACGGUAUCUUCACCACUCUCAGCCUCCCCUGGGACUUAAGGAAAGACACCACCAAGAAAGAAAAGUAAUCAUACCAACAGCCUGGCUCGAAGACAAUUUUAACAACCUGAGAAAUGCAAGUCAUCCCUCAGUGGAUGUCCUCAGCUGCCAAGUGUCAUGUAUGACAGAAAAAAUGAUCUGCCAUAAAUCUAUAUGGGAGGGAGGGAGCAAGAUAAGUGACCUCUGAAAGGUUCCUCAAGACCCCGAGACCCCCCUGGCCUCUGCCUGGCCCUGGUGCGGGAACACAGCCAAGGCUUAUGAUGGCUUCCUCUAUGACACUGCCUGGGUUCCUUUAGAAUCUCAAGUACCAAUUGUCUGAGCCCUGAGAGUAUAUUACUUCCAUGCCUGCUGAGUGCAGGGGUCACCUGUCUGGGUCACUAUCUGGGUUUCUUUGACUUGAAUCCUUCAUGGCCAGGCAGGGGCUCCCCUGCUCACAGUUCUAAAUGGCAAGCCCCAUGCUGCAAACCUAAAUGUUAGGAACUGACCAGCUUCUGAGUGUUCAUAUGUCAGUGGCCUAUCAAUUAUUCAAGCAGAGCGGGCUUGUGUGUGAUGCGCAGAUACUAUCAGGCAAGUCAUUUUGGUGAUUGGUAAGCAGAGCUGGAUGCUGUGACCCCCCCCCAGGGUGGGAGGUGAUCUUCAGACCCCACAAUGCACUGCAGUCAGGACCCCUAAAAGCAGGAGCCCACAAGGCCACAGUUCACUUUAGGACAACCUAGACAUCACCUGCCUCACUUCUGGAGAGUUUGGGUCCUCAGCCACUUCUGUCAGCAGUGGCCAAGACCCAACAGACACAGAGACCUGAUAGCCAGAGGCCAGAUUAAGGUCAGGAGGGUCCUUGCUGGAUGGGGUGAUGCUCAAUACUGAAGUCUUACUGUAGGGAGCUGAAGAGGCAGGUGCCUCUACCUUAGACAGAUUAUUUGAGGCAUCUGGUCUACCAAAGCAAAUUUCAGAGUCAAGGGAAAUUUAGGCCUUUUCUCACUGGUUACAGUGUAACACUGGAAGCAAGACCACAGCACACUGUAGACAGAUGUGGGAGCCCCUGUCAUGGUAACUAAUGGAAGACAGUGGCAACUGGAGGGAGAUAAGGUGAGCUACCAUGUCACCAAGGAUAUUCCCCACAGACUUUGCAUAGACCAGGUCCAUGUAGGUACUGCAAGAUGGGUCUCGAACUGAUCCUGGGACCUGCCAAGACAGUCUAAAGGUAAGCCCUUACCUGCCUCUCCUUGAGUCCAGAGUAAGUCAUGGCUGCUCAUUCUGAUUUGGCAUGAUGUUUUGGGUUUUUGUCUUGUCUUGUUUUGGUUUUGUUUUUUAGAUAAUGUCAGAUUAUAAAGCCAGUGUUCUUGAAGACUGGGUAGCUUGUGGUAAUGGAACGGCUAGUGGGAGCCUGCGGCCAUUUUGGAUACUUAGAUCCUAGCAUGAUAAAAGCAGAAGCGACACCAUCCUGGAGGGAAACAAGUGAGUCCCCAGAAGAGACCACCGCUCAAAAUGAAAGUCUGUGUCCGAGGGAGGGUCCUCCCACCAGACAGCUGGUUGUUCAGGCAGGACCUUCACAGGUACUGACCUCACUGAAAGCAUAGCUAGGCCAGAUGCAGCUGCCCCUUCCUAUUCUGAAAUGCAUGCCCUUGACUCUCCUAGUAUGUCCAAGUCUGGUCCGUACAGUCCCGGACAAUAAAUACAAGGAAGAGGUCACUGGCCCGAAGCUCUUUCUGGACCCCGGCUCUGAGGGCACAUCUUCCUCCUUUCACCCUUUUCCUCUUGGGUACCACCAGGGUCUCCCAUUCUGCACAUUGCUGCUGUCUUUAUGGACAACUUCUUGAGACACAGAGGAAAACAGGAUUGCUGGAUCCACUGCAGAGACAAGGCUGGACCAAAGGGAGCUUCUCGGGGCUCAUGUGUGAGAUGGAGGAAGAGUUAGGGGCACAACAGAUACCACUGGCCACCACACGGGCUCGUGCAGUGGCUGCACACCGGACAUGCGGGCUGGCCCGGGGCCUCACCCAGACUGCUGUGCAAUGCACCCACCUCUGAGAGCUAAAAGGUUAGGCACAGAACUGAUGGCACUAAAGGGUGUGUCAAAAUAACCCAGAGGCUCGGGGUAGAACUUUGUGGUUAAGGCGCUUUCAUGGCAACCAAGAGAAUUUUCUAUUUUUGCGUGUUUCAUAAUUAUGUGCAAAUUCUAUUUUUACCUAA